UACGGAGGGUGCAAACGUUGCUCGGAAUUAUUGGGCGUAAAGCGCGCGCAGGCGGUCCUUUAAGUCUGAUGUGAAAGCCCACGGCUCAACCGUGGAGGGUCAUUGGAAACUGGGGGACUUGAGUACAGAAGAGAAGAGUGGAAUUCCACGUGUAGCGGUGAAAUGCGUAGAGAUGUGGAGGAACACCAGUGGCGAAGGCGACUCUUUGGUCUGUAACUGACGCUGAGGCGCGAAAGCGUGGGGAGCAAACAGG
rnacentral:rRNA from 1 species